GGGGAGCAGGCCACAGAUGGAGAGGAACGAUGGAGCCGCAGAGCCGGGGAAGUGGGAUUCUGAUGGUACAGGAAUGCCGCUCAGGGAUCUGGAGAGACGAUGGGGACCCCAGAGGGGACGUCCCCAGACAUCUACCAAAGGCUCUAGUCAUUCACCAUGCAAAGGUCGCUUGACGGAGCUAGGCCGCAGGGGCAGGGACAGGGAGCCCCAAACGCGGAACAAGCCCCAGGGGCCUGCCCAAGCCACGCUCUGGCUCUAAAAGAAGGCCCGCCUGCGCACAAACCCGGUGGCCCGCGGGGCGCGAGUUCCCAGCCCCCUCCGCAUGCAGGUAAUCCGGGAACACUUCCUCCGGAGGUAAGAAGGCAGGAGGCUCAUGUUCGAAGUGUCAGUGGGCUCCAGAGUGUGUGACAAAGCCAUCAAGCCCAAGCUCCCAAGAGCCCAGGUUCACGUUCUUGCCCAGCACGUAAGGUGAGAACUUCACAUCCUGUCUGCUCUCAUCUCUCAUAUAGGCUCUGGCUGAUGUUCCUGCAGCCUAGGGGAGGAAGGGGACUCAGAAGCCUGGAGAUUGUUCCGAGUCAGGUCUGCCCACAGGUGUCUGAUGCCCAGCAAUGGCUGGGCUCAUUUCCUGAAGCUGAGGCCUGACUAGUGCAAAGCACAGUGGUACCCAGUGGAUUUCUAAGGAAGGUGUAGUGGAAUGCCAGGCACACUCAGGCUUCAAGUCUCCCUGAAUUCAUUGCUGAGCUUGGCCAUUGCCACCACUCAAGGGGGAAUGGGGAGCUAGGAAAUCGCCUUUUUUUUUUUUUGUAGGCAACCAGGGGAAAUGAGGACUUGUAGACCCUUCUCUCUUAUGCCUCCUUCUCUUAACAAAUCUUGGCAUUUCUUUCAUUUCAUUUUUUAAUUGUAAUAUUCUAGACACAUUAAAAGGUAUGUAUCAGUCAGAACAUACUAGAUUAUGUGGCAGUACCAAACAAUCCUGAUAUCUUCUUAGUGGCUUAACACACUUCUGCUUCUGCUACAUGUCCUUGAAGGAUGAGCUGGGGGCUCUGCUCAGGAAAUCACUCAGGGACCCAUUUGAUAAGACAACCACCAUCUCAAACAUUGUCAGAAGCAAAAGAGAAAUCCAGAGGGUCUCAAAAGGCAAUUUAAGGGCGCCUGGGUGGCUCAGUUGGUUAAGCGACUGCCUUCGGCUCAGGUCAUGAUCCUGGAGUCCUGGGAUCGAGUCCCACAUCAGGCUCCCUGCUCAGCAGGGAGUCUGCUUCUCCCUCUGACCCUCUUCCCUCUCGUACUCUCUCUCAUUCUCUCUCUCAAAUAAAUAAAUAAAAUCUUUAAAAAAAAAAAAAAAAGGCAAUUUAAUGCUCUAGCCAGAACUAGUCAGUCACAGGCUUCCCCUGACCACAGGGAACCAGGUAGUGCAAUUCUUCUAACACUUAGAAGGGAAAGGGGCCACAGAUGUCUGGAGAACAACAAUCAUAAUGACCACGGAAUAAAGAAUGACAUCACUAACACCGCGUGCCCAUGCCACCCAACCUAGCAAAUAUCACUUUGCCAAUACGGGUGAGACCCUCUGUGCACCUGACUCAAGUAUAUCUCUUUCUGCUCCCUGCUCCACCGAGGCGACCAUUCUUCUGAGUUUGAUGUUUAUCAUUCUCUAUAUUUUACCAUAUAUUGUUUAUAUCAAUAUAUAGUACCUGUAUCCAUAGAUAGUAAAAUAUAUACAUAUGCACAUAUUACAUACACCCUUUGCAGAGGGGUGAACUGGGUCCUCAGUCGCCACUCAGCCUGUCCUGAGGCCCUAAUACAUUAGGUCGAAUAUACCGUAUGUUUUGCACUUCAAGAUCAUGUAAGUGGUAUCAAACUGUAUAUACCCAUCAGCAACUUUCUUUUUUGAUCUGCUCCA
rnacentral:lncRNA from 1 species